UACGUAGGGGCUAGCGUUGUCCGGAAUCAUUGGGCGUAAAGAGCGUGUAGGCGGUCCGGUAAGUCCGCUGUGAAAGUCGGGGGCUCAACCCUCGAAUGCCGGUGGAUACUGUCGGGCUAGAGUGCGGAAGAGGCGAGUGGAAUUCCUGGUGUAGCGGUGAAAUGCGCAGAUAUCAGGAGGAACACCUAUUGCGAAGGCAGCUCGCUGGGACGUAACUGACGCUGAGGAGCGAAAGCGUGGGGAGCGAACAGG
rnacentral:rRNA from 1 species